rnacentral:rRNA from 1 species
CGCGUAGGUAACCUGCCUGGUAGCGGGGGAUAACUAUUGGAAACGAUAGCUAAUCCCGCAUAACAGUAGAUGUUGCAUGACAUCUGCUUGAAAGGGGCAAUUGCUCCACUACCAGAUGGACCUGCGUUGUAUUAGCUAGUUGGUGAGGUAACGGCUCACCAAGGCGACGAUACAUAGCCGACCUGAGAGGGUGAUCGGCCACACUGGGACUGAGACACGGCCCAGACUCCUACGGGAGGCAGCAGUAGGGAAUCUUCGGCAAUGGACGGAAGUCUGACCGAGCAACGCCGCGUGAGUGAAGAAGGUUUUCGGAUCGUAAAGCUCUGUUGUAAGUCAAGAACGAGUGUGAGAGUGGAAAGUUCACACUGUGACGGUAGCUUACCAGAAAGGGACGGCUAACUACGUGCCAGCAGCCGCGGUAAUACGUAGGUCCCGAGCGUUGUCCGGAUUUAUUGGGCGUAAAGCGAGCGCAGGCGGUUUGAUAAGUCUGAAGUUAAAGGCUGUGGCUCAACCAUAGUUCGCUUUGGAAACUGUCAAACUUGAGUGCAGAAGGGGAGAGUGGAAUUCCAUGUGUAGCGGUGAAAUGCGUAGAUAUAUGGAGGAACACCGGUGGCGAAAGCGGCUCUCUGGUCUGUAACUGACGCUGAGGCUCGAAAGCGUGGGGAGCGAACAGGAUUAGAUACCCUGGUAGUCCACGCCGUAAACGAUGAGUGGCUAGGGGGUGGGUCCUUUCCGGGAUUCAGUGCCGCAGCUAACGCAUUAAGCACUCCGCCUGGGGAGUACGGACCGCAAGGUUGAAACUCAAAGGAAUUGACGGGGGCCCGCACAAGCGGUGGAGCAUGUGGUUUAAUUCGAAGCAACGCGAAGAACCUUACCAGGUCUUGACAUCCCGAUGCUAUUUCUAGAGAUAGGAAGUUACUUCGGUACAUCGGUGACAGGUGGUGCAUGGUUGUCGUCAGCUCGUGUCGUGAGAUGUUGGGUUAAGUCCCGCAACGAGCGCAACCCCUAUUGUUAGUUGCCAUCAUUCAGUUGGGCACUCUAGCGAGACUGCCGGUAAUAAACCGGAGGAAGGUGGGGAUGACGUCAAAUCAUCAUGCCCCUUAUGACCUGGGCUACACACGUGCUACAAUGGUUGGUACAACGAGUUGCGAGUCGGUGACGGCGAGCUAAUCUCUUAAAGCCAAUCUCAGUUCGGAUUGUAGGCUGCAACUCGCCUACAUGAAGUCGGAAUCGCUAGUAAUCGCGGAUCAGCACGCCGCGGUGAAUACGUUCCCGGGCCUUGUACACACCGCCCGUCA